GUGACCAUUUUGAGAGCCACCUGGACAUUCCACGUUCUCCAGAUUCUGCAGACAGGAUCCUGGGAAAACUUGCAGAAACUGGCAAAGGGUGUCUAAAUCAAAUUCAGCUAUCCCAGAUCUUGGUGUUGCCCGGUUAAGAGAGAGAGCUCUCAAGACUGCAGCCUAGAUUUGCUGGAUAAUGAAAGGAGAAAGGGGUGGCAAAUAGAAGAAAUCAGCAUUUUGAAAAAGCCCUCCGAGUGCUUUCUGUAUCCACUAACCUGCUUAUCUACAUGGUCUGGAAGGUGUACGUGAAUGUCUCUUGGAAAUUAGGACCAGAUGGCAAGGAGAAUAAGAAUGCAAGAAAAGCCAAAUGCAGACUAAAGAGAGGAGAGACAAAAGUUGAAAAGGAAGCCUACCUUACUUUCCCUUGCCAGACUUCUUGCUUGGAGGUUCAGAACCCACCAU